rnacentral:rRNA from 1 species
GGUUAAGCGACUAAGCGUACACGGUGGAUGCCCUGGCAGUCAGAGGCGAUGAAGGACGUGCUAAUCUGCGAUAAGCGUCGGUAAGGUGAUAUGAACCGUUAUAACCGGCGAUUUCCGAAUGGGGAAACCCAGUGUGAUUCGUCACACUAUCAUUAACUGAAUCCAUAGGUUAAUGAGGCGAACCGGGGGAACUGAAACAUCUAAGUACCCCGAGGAAAAGAAAUCAACCGAGAUUCCCCCAGUAGCGGCGAGCGAACGGGGAGCAGCCCAGAGCCUGAAUCAGUGUGUGUGUUAGUGGAAGCGUCUGGAAAGGCGUGCGAUACAGGGUGACAGCCCCGUACACAAAAAUGCACAUACUGUGAGCUCGAUGAGUAGGGCGGGACACGUGGUAUCCUGUCUGAAUAUGGGGGGACCAUCCUCCAAGGCUAAAUACUCCUGACUGACCGAUAGUGAACCAGUACCGUGAGGGAAAGGCGAAAAGAACCCCGGCGAGGGGAGUGAAAAAGAACCUGAAACCGUGUACGUACAAGCAGUGGGAGCACAGAGCAAUCUGUGUGACUGCGUACCUUUUGUAUAAUGGGUCAGCGACUUAUAUUCUGUAGCAAGGUUAACCGAAUAGGGGAGCCGAAGGGAAACCGAGUCUUAACUGGGCGUUAAGUUGCAGGGUAUAGACCCGAAACCCGGUGAUCUAGCCAUGGGCAGGUUGAAGGUUGGGUAACACUAACUGGAGGACCGAACCGACUAAUGUUGAAAAAUUAGCGGAUGACUUGUGGCUGGGGGUGAAAGGCCAAUCAAACCGGGAGAUAGCUGGUUCUCCCCGAAAGCUAUUUAGGUAGCGCCUCGUGAAUUCAUCUCCGGGGGUAGAGCACUGUUUCGGCAAGGGGGUCAUCCCGACUUACCAACCCGAUGCAAACUGCGAAUACCGGAGAAUGUUAUCACGGGAGACACACGGCGGGUGCUAACGUCCGUCGUGAAGAGGGAAACAACCCAGACCGCCAGCUAAGGUCCCAAAGUCAUGGUUAAGUGGGAAACGAUGUGGGAAGGCCCAGACAGCCAGGAUGUUGGCUUAGAAGCAGCCAUCAUUUAAAGAAAGCGUAAUAGCUCACUGGUCGAGUCGGCCUGCGCGGAAGAUGUAACGGGGCUAAACCAUGCACCGAAGCUGCGGCAGCGACGCUUAUGCGUUGUUGGGUAGGGGAGCGUUCUGUAAGCCUGCGAAGGUGUGCUGUGAGGCAUGCUGGAGGUAUCAGAAGUGCGAAUGCUGACAUAAGUAACGAUAAAGCGGGUGAAAAGCCCGCUCGCCGGAAGACCAAGGGUUCCUGUCCAACGUUAAUCGGGGCAGGGUGAGUCGACCCCUAAGGCGAGGCCGAAAGGCGUAGUCGAUGGGAAACAGGUUAAUAUUCCUGUACUUGGUGUUACUGCGAAGGGGGGACGGAGAAGGCUAUGUUGGCCGGGCGACGGUUGUCCCGGUUUAAGCGUGUAGGCUGGUUUUCCAGGCAAAUCCGGAAAAUCAAGGCUGAGGCGUGAUGACGAGGCACUACGGUGCUGAAGCAACAAAUGCCCUGCUUCCAGGAAAAGCCUCUAAGCAUCAGGUAACAUCAAAUCGUACCCCAAACCGACACAGGUGGUCAGGUAGAGAAUACCAAGGCGCUUGAGAGAACUCGGGUGAAGGAACUAGGCAAAAUGGUGCCGUAACUUCGGGAGAAGGCACGCUGAUAUGUAGGUGAAGUCCCUCGCGGAUGGAGCUGAAAUCAGUCGAAGAUACCAGCUGGCUGCAACUGUUUAUUAAAAACACAGCACUGUGCAAACACGAAAGUGGACGUAUACGGUGUGACGCCUGCCCGGUGCCGGAAGGUUAAUUGAUGGGGUCAGCGCAAGCGAAGCUCUUGAUCGAAGCCCCGGUAAACGGCGGCCGUAACUAUAACGGUCCUAAGGUAGCGAAAUUCCUUGUCGGGUAAGUUCCGACCUGCACGAAUGGCGUAAUGAUGGCCAGGCUGUCUCCACCCGAGACUCAGUGAAAUUGAACUCGCUGUGAAGAUGCAGUGUACCCGCGGCAAGACGGAAAGACCCCGUGAACCUUUACUAUAGCUUGACACUGAACAUUGAGCCUUGAUGUGUAGGAUAGGUGGGAGGCUUGGAAGUGUGGACGCCAGUCUGCAUGGAGCCGACCUUGAAAUACCACCCUUUAAUGUUUGAUGUUCUAACGUUGACCCGUAAUCCGGGUUGCGGACAGUGUCUGGUGGGUAGUUUGACUGGGGCGGUCUCCUCCUAAAGAGUAACGGAGGAGCACGAAGGUUGGCUAAUCCUGGUCGGACAUCAGGAGGUUAGUGCAAUGGCAUAAGCCAGCUUGACUGCGAGCGUGACGGCGCGAGCAGGUGCGAAAGCAGGUCAUAGUGAUCCGGUGGUUCUGAAUGGAAGGGCCAUCGCUCAACGGAUAAAAGGUACUCCGGGGAUAACAGGCUGAUACCGCCCAAGAGUUCAUAUCGACGGCGGUGUUUGGCACCUCGAUGUCGGCUCAUCACAUCCUGGGGCUGAAGUAGGUCCCAAGGGUAUGGCUGUUCGCCAUUUAAAGUGGUACGCGAGCUGGGUUUAGAACGUCGUGAGACAGUUCGGUCCCUAUCUGCCGUGGGCGCUGGAGAACUGAGGGGGGCUGCUCCUAGUACGAGAGGACCGGAGUGGACGCAUCACUGGUGUUCGGGUUGUCAUGCCAAUGGCACUGCCCGGUAGCUAAAUGCGGAAGAGAUAAGUGCUGAAAGCAUCUAAGCACGAAACUUGCCCCGAGAUGAGUUCUCCCUGACUCCUUGAGAGUCCUGAAGGAACGUUGAAGACGACGACGUUGAUAGGCCGGAUGUGUAAGCGCAGCGAUGCGUUGAGCUAACCGGUACUAAUGAACCGUGAGGCUUAACCUU